CUUGGACCAAUCAAGUUUCACUGUUGAACCGAACCACCCCCGAAGCCCAUGGAUUCCAGAUAACUGAACCAAAACAGGAUAAAGACAGCCCUAAUAGCCAAUCAACACUGUCUGCUAGAGUUGGAUCAUCCCAGCAGCUGUGUGGUGGGAAGUUUUUGUCUGAUGAGAAGAAAGCAAAUCGAUUUGGCUGAAAUGGAAAUCUUGGUAAUGAUCUCUCCCUGAUACCCACGCGGCUCCUCAUGCCCCCGGCAGAUCUCAGCCCAGAUGAUGUUGCUGUUCAUCACGUUUUCCUACUGUUCAUCAUGUUUCAAGCUGGAAACAGAGUCAUUUUCCCCUUAAUACCCUUCCCCCAAUUCAACCCGUCAGUUUUAGCUCUCUCAGUCCUAUUUCCAAGACACAUCCUGACUCUAUUCACUCUCUCCCUGUCCACCCCCAUCACCCUAAGCCAGUGAUUUUCAACCACAGUCCAUUUUGAUGCCCAAGGAACAUUCGACAACGUCUGCAGAGAGUUCUGGCUGUCACAACUCAGGGGGAGGGGAGCCACUGGUGUUUGGUGAGGAGAAGCCAGGGAUGCGGCUCAACAUCCUACACUGCACAGGACGGCCCACAAUCAAGACUUACCUGGCUCAAAUUUCAGUAGCGCCCAGUGGAGAAACACUGGUCUCGGCCAACUGUCCUCUGCCUUGGCUGAACAGCUGCCACGUGCCCCCUGGGUCUGCCAGUUGCCAUUGGCUCUUUACUGUCCUAAAUGUUUCCUCACCUUAUGAUUCCCCAAUUAAAUGGUUUCAGUGA